UGGGAGCUGAUGUAACCGGCAGCAUCGUUGGCUCUGAACCAACGCGUGGGGGUUCGAAUCCUCCGCUCCCAGC
rnacentral:tRNA from 1 species